rnacentral:rRNA from 1 species
UACGUAGGGGGCAAGCGUUGUCCGGAUUUAUUGGGCGUAAAGAGCGUGUAGGCGGCCAGGUAGGUCAGCUGUGAAAACUCGAGGCUCAACCUCGAGAUGUCGGCUGAAACCAUCUGGCUAGAGUCCGGGAGAGGGAUGCGGAAUUCCAGGUGUAGCGGUGAAAUGCGUAGAUAUCUGGAGGAACACCGGUGGCGAAGGCGGCAUCCUGGACCGGCAUUGACGCUGAGGAGCGAAAGCCAGGGGAGCAAACGGG